rnacentral:rRNA from 1 species
AUUGAACGCUGGCGGCAUGCCUUACACAUGCAAGUCGAACGGUAACGCGGGGCAACCUGGCGACGAGUGGCGAACGGGUGAGUAAUGUAUCGGAACGUGCCCAGUUGUGGGGGAUAACCGCUCGGAAGAGCAGCUAAUACCGCAUACGACCUGAGGGUGAAAGCGGGGGAUCGCAAGACCUCGCGCAGUUGGAGCGGCCGAUAUCAGAUUAGGUAGUUGGUGGGGUAAAGGCUCACCAAGCCAACGAUCUGUAGCUGGUCUGAGAGGACGACCAGCCACACUGGGACUGAGACACGGCCCAGACUCCUACGGGAGGCAGCAGUGGGGAAUUUUGGACAAUGGGCGCAAGCCUGAUCCAGCCAUGCCGCGUGCGGGAAGAAGGCCUUCGGGUUGUAAACCGCUUUUGUCAGGGAAGAAAAGACUCCUGUUAAUACCGGGGGUUCAUGACGGUACCUGAAGAAUAAGCACCGGCUAACUACGUGCCAGCCGCCGCGGUAA